CCAAUAGCGUAUAUUAAAGUUGUUGCAGUUAAAAAGCUCGUAGUUGAAUUUCGAGAUCAAAUUGUUGGUCGUGCCUUGGUACGCACUGGCAUUAUUGGUUUCUCCCUUCUGACGAACCAUGAUGUCAUUAAUUUGGUGUCUUGGGGAAUCAGGACUGUUACUUUGAAAAAAUUAGAGUGUUUAAAGCAGGCUCACGCUUGAAUACAUUAGCAUGGAAUAAUGAAAUAGGACGUUUGAUUCUAUUUUGUUGGUUUCUAGGAUCGACGUAAUGAUUAAUAGGGAUAGUUGGGGGCAUUAGUAUUCAAUUGUCAGAGGUGAAAUUCUUGGAUUUAUUGAAGACUAACUACUGCGAAAGCAUUUGCCAAGGAUGUUUUCAUUAAUCAAGAACGAAAGUUAGGGGAUCGAAGACGAUCAGAUACCGUCGUAGUCUUAACCAUAAACUAUGCCGACUAGGGAUCGGAUGAUGCUAAUUUUUUAAUGACUCAUUCGGCGCCUUACG
rnacentral:rRNA from 1 species